ACUCAAAUGAAUUGACGGGGGCCCGCACAAGCGGUGGAGCAUGUGGUUCAAUUCGACGCAACGCGAAGAACCUUACCUGGGCUCGAACGGCUGCGGACAAUCCUUAGAAAUAGGGACUUCCCGCAAGGGACCGUAGUCGAGGUGCUGCAUGGCUGUCGUCAGCUCGUGUCGUGAGAUGUUGGGUUAAGUCCCGCAACGAGCGCAACCCUCGUCCUGUGUUGCUAACCGCAAGGUGCACUCGCAGGAGACUGCCGGCGAUAAGCUGGAGGAAGGUGGGGAUGACGUCAAGUCAUCAUGGCCUUUAUGUCCAGGGCUACACACGUGCUACAAUGGGCGGUACAAUGCGUUCCCAAACCGCGAGGUGGAGGCAAUCGCAAAAAACCGUUCUCAGUUCGGAUCGCAGGCUGCAACUCGCCUGCGUGAAGCUGGAAUCGCUAGUAAUGGCACAUCAGCACGGUGCCGUGAAUACGUUCCCGGGCCUUGUACACACCGCCCGU
rnacentral:rRNA from 1 species